AACGCGAAGAACCUUACCUGGGCUUGAACCGCACAGGACCAUUCCUAGAAAUAGGGACUUCCCGCAAGGGACCUGUGUAGAGGUGCUGCAUGGCUGUCGUCAGCUCGUGUCGUGAGAUGUUGGGUUAAGUCCCGCAACGAGCGCAACCCUUACCUCCAGUUGCCAUCAUUCAGUUGGGCACUCUGGCGGAACCGCCUCGGAUAACGGGGAGGAAGGUGGGGAUGACGUCAAGUCCUCAUGGCCUUUAUGUCCAGGGCUACACACGUGCUACAAUGGCCGGUACAAACCGUUGCAAACCCGCGAGGGGGAGCUAAUCGGAAAAAGCCGGCCUCAGUUCGGAUCGCAGUCUGCAACUCGACUGCGUGAAGCUGGAAUCGCUAGUAAUCGCGGAUCAGAAUGCCGCGGUGAAUACGUUCCCGGGCCUUGUACACACCGUAGAGAC
rnacentral:rRNA from 1 species